rnacentral:rRNA from 1 species
AUCGCCUACGGGAGGCAGCAGUGAGGAAUAUUGGUCAAUGGGCGGGAGCCUGAACCAGCCAAGUCGCGUGAGGGAAGACGGUCCUAUGGAUUGUAAACCUCUUUAGGCGGGGAGCAAUGCCGAGCACGUGUGCCCGGAGGGAGAGUACCCGCAGAAUAAGCAUCGGCUAACUCCGUGCCAGCAGCCGCGGUAAUACGGAGGAUGCGAGCGUUAUCCGGAUUUAUUGGGUUUAAAGGGUGCGUAGGCGGAUUUUUAAGUCGGCGGUAAAAUGGCCGGGCUCAACCCGGGCCGGCCGUUGUAACUGG